AGGGCCAUAGCUCAGUCGGUAGAGCACCUCGUUUACACCGAGAAGGUCUA
rnacentral:tRNA from 1 species